rnacentral:rRNA from 1 species
UGGGGAAUAUUGCACAAUGGGGGAAACCCUGAUGCAGCGACGCCGCGUGAGCGAAGAAGUAUUUCGGUAUGUAAAGCUCUAUCAGCAGGGAAGAAAAUGACGGUACCUGACUAAGAAGCCCCGGCUAACUACGUGCCAGCAGCCGCGGUAAUACGUAGGGGGCAAGCGUUAUCCGGAUUUACUGGGUGUAAAGGGAGCGUAGACGGCUAUGCAAGUCUGAAGUGAAAGCCCAGGGCUCAACCCUGGGACUGCUUUGGAAACUGUAAAGCUUGAGUACCGGAGGGGUAAGCGGAAUUCCUAGUG